rnacentral:rRNA from 1 species
GCUACGGGCGGCAGCAGUGAGGAAUAUUGGUCAAUGGACGAGAGUCUGAACCAGCAAAGUAGCGUGAAGGAUGACUGCCCUAUGGGUUGUAAACUUCUUUUAUAUGGGAAUAAAAUGUUCCACGUGUGGGCUUUUGUAUGUACCAUAUGAAUAAGGAUCGGCUAACUACGUGCCAGCAGCCGCGGUAAGACGGAGGAUCCGAGCUUUAUCCGGAUUUAUUGGGUUCAAAGGGAAUGUCGGUGGAUUGUUAAAUCAGUUGUGAAAGUUUGCGGGUCAACCGUAAAAUUGCAGUUGAAACUGGCAGUCUUGAGUACAGUAGAGGUGGGCGGAAUUCGUGGUGUAGCGGUGAAAUGCGUAGAUAUCACGAAGAACUCCGAUUGCGAAGGCAGUUCACUGGACUGCAACUGACACUGAGGCUCGAAAGUGUGGGUAUCAAACAGGAUUAGAUACCCGAGUAGUC